rnacentral:rRNA from 1 species
UGGGGAAUAUUGGACAAUGGGCGAAAGCCUGAUCCAGCCAUGCCGCGUGUGUGAAGAAGGUCUUCGGAUUGUAAAGCACUUUAAGUUGGGAGGAAGGGCCAUUACCUAAUACGUGAUGGUUUUGACGUUACCGACAGAAUAAGCACCGGCUAACUCUGUGCCAGCAGCCGCGGUAAUACAGAGGGUGCAAGCGUUAAUCGGAAUUACUGGGCGUAAAGCGCGCGUAGGUGGUUUGUUAAGUUGGAUGUGAAAUCCCCGGGCUCAACCUGGGAACUGCAUUCAAAACUGACUGACUAGAGUAUGGUAGAGGGUGGUGGAAUUUCCUGUGUAGCGGUGAAAUGCGUAGAUAUAGGAAGGAACACCAGUGGCGAAGGCGACCACCUGGACUGAUACUGACACUGAAUCACGAAAGCGUGGGUAGCGAUACGGAUUAGAUACCCAAGUAGUCCCUGAGCGGGCUGGCAAGGCGCAU